GCGCGAGUGGCUCAGCGGUGGAGCGUCUCCUUGCCAAGGAGAAGGCCGCGGGUUCGAUCCCCGUCUCGCGCU
rnacentral:tRNA from 1 species